UAUUUAAUUAAAAUUGUAUUAAUCACAAAAAUAUUUUUUUAUAUGAAUCUUGAACUUAGAUAAGAAAAUCUAUUGCGAUGUUAAAGGAUUAGUUUGCUUAUCUGAAAUUGAUAUAUCAGCUAUAGUAAAGGACAUUGCUGAAACAAGAUAUGUUUGUUAUCCUUCAUGUAUAGAACAACAAGUAACUUAUAUUGGUUUUCAAGAGAAAGAAUGGGUGGAUACAGAUUCAUAUAUAGUGGAAAUCGAAGUGACCAAUACUCCUACAGAACGAUAUAAUCGAAUAGUCACACAAACGCCACUUGAUAUAAUGGUGUCGAUUGGAGGACUUUUUGGAUUAUUUUUUGGCGUCUCUUUACUCAAUAUUGUUAACAUGGUUUUCAUAUGCAAAUAUUAUAAUUAAAACAAAUUAGACAUUGGAAAGUUCAAUUUAUCGUAUUUAUAACAAAUUUAUAUA